rnacentral:rRNA from 1 species
UGGCGGCAGGCUUAACACAUGCAAGUCGAACGSGUAGCAGGGAGAAAGCUUGCUUUCUUUGCUGACGAGUGSCGGACGGGUGAGUAAUGCUUGGGAAUCUGGCUUAUGGAGGGGGAUAACUGUMKGGAAACUGCAGCUAAUACCGCGUAUUAUCGGAAGAUGAAAGGGUGGGACCUUCGGGCCACCUGCCAUAAGAUGAGCCCAAGUGGGAUUAGGUAGUUGGUGGGGUAAGGGCCUACCAAGCCGACGAUCUCUAGCUGGUCUGAGAGGAUGACCAGCCACACUGGGACUGAGACACGGCCCAGACUCCUACGGGAGGCAGCAGUGGGGAAUAUUGCGCAAUGGGGGGAACCCUGACGCAGCCAUGCCGCGUGAAUGAAGAAGGCCUUCGGGUUGUAAAGUUCUUUCGGUAAUGAGGAAGGGGUAUUAUUGAAUAGAUAAUAUCAUUGACGUUAAUUACAGAAGAAGCASCGGCUAACUCCGUGCCAGCAGCCGCGGUCKAUACGGA